UUGAAACAAUCUCUACUGAACCAGCUUCAAACAAAUUCACUGGAGUUUGUUUCAAUA
rnacentral:pre_miRNA from 1 species